GAGUUUGAUCCUGGCUCAGGAUGAACGCUAGCGACAGGCUUAACACAUGCAAGUCGGGGGGCAGCGGUGGUGAAGGCUUGCCUUUACCAGCCGGCGACCGGCGCACGGGUGAGUAACACGUAUGCAACCUGCCUGCCACAGCCGGAUAAUCGGGAGAAAUUCCGUCUAAUACGGCAUAAAUGCAUCGACGGGACAUCCUGUUGGUGCCAAAGGUUGAUUCCGGUGGCGGAUGGGCAUGCGUCGCAUUAGUUAGUUGGCGGUGUAACGGACCACCAAGACGACGAUGCGUAGGGGUUCUGAGAGGAAGGUCCCCCACACUGGUACUGAGACACGGACCAGACUCCUACGGGAGGCAGCAGUGAGGAAUAUUGGUCAAUGGGCGGGAGCCUGAACCAGCCAAGUCGCGUGAGGGAUGACGGCCCUAUGGGUUGUAAACCUCUUUGCCGGGGAGCAAAGUGCCGCACGUGUGCGGUUUGGAGAGGUACCCGGAGAAAAGCAUCGGCUAACUCCGUGCCAGCA
rnacentral:rRNA from 1 species